GGUUUCUCUUCCUCAGCGCGAAGAUGUCAUACACAGCAGUAUUCUUUUCAAACAUUGUGGUGGUAUCUCUGAAGAAAUAAAAAUUGGAGCCUAAAUCUGAUGACCUGGAUAAGCAGCUGUCUUCUCCAAGCAGGGGGACAAGAGGAGUCUAAACAAAAGAUAACAACAUGGCAUAGCCAUAGAGACCUCAUGGGAAGGAUGCCCCCACCUAAGGAAAACCAAGAGCCAACCUCAUCAUCAAGGAUUGAUCACCCCCUCGGAGGGGAGGAGUUUUUACUUCUCUCCCCUGCACAUACUUUCACCCACCAUACUCCAUCCAGGUCCCCCUCCCCUCUAUUUUCCCCCUCAUCCCCUCCACCAUGAGUUCACUGACAACAUGAAAGAGCUGGUCACAGCUAGAACCAAAUUCACUCCCCGCCGCACUACUAUUUUCACUCCAGCUCAACCUCUGCCACUGGCUCUAAGUCCUCAGCCAGUUGCCCCCCCUCCCGCCUCCACGACGGCUCCACAACCAUCCUAUCAUGAAUUGAUUUCUUUUGGGUCCAGACUACAAGGCUAAUGACACCACUGAUUCUCACCAGGAACAGUUUUGGCCCUGUAUGAAGCUAGCCUACACAAUUCCUGUCCUGAUUUAUAGAAAAGGAAAUAAUAGGCAGCGAAGAAACAUGAGUAAAUCUGCACAUUUAUCAAAUUUUACAUGCAUUCCUCGCCAGCCUGUCCAAACUAAUCGGACACAGAGCUUUAAACACAUAAAAAAAUAGCUUUAUUAAAUGUCAGGUCUCUGUCAGGAAAAACCUUUUUAAUCAACGAUUGUAUUGUUAGGCAAAAACUUGAUUUUCUGUUUUUUACUGAAACUUGGUUAGACCAAGAUAAUAGUGCAGCUGCUCUUAUUGAAUAAACACCUCCCAACUUCAGUUUCAUGAACUGAAACAAGAGUGCAUAAGAAAGGCGGUGGAGUUGCAAUUUAUUUAAUGAUUCUCUUCAAUGCAAGCAAUGUCUUUUGGUCCUUUUACUUCCU